rnacentral:rRNA from 1 species
GAUGAACGCUGGCGGCGUGCCUAAUACAUGCAAGUCGAACGCUGGAAAUCUAGCUUGCUCGAUUGAAGGAGUGGCGAACGGGUGAGUAAUACAUAAGCAACCUACCCACGAAGACUGGGAUAAUCUCUGGAAACGGGGACUAAUACCGGAUAGGUAAUCGGAAGGCAUCUUCUGAUUAUUAAAGGUUAAAAACACUGGUGGAUGGGCUUAUGGCGCAUUAGUUAGUUGGUGAGGUAAUGGCCCACCAAGACGAUGAUGCGUAGCCGGCCUGAGAGGGUGAACGGCCACAUUGGGACUGAGACACGGCCCAGACUCCUACGGGAGGCAGCAGUAGGGAAUUGUCGGCAAUGGGGGAAACCCUGACCGAGCAACGCCGCGUGAGUGAUGACGGCCUUCGGGUUGUAAAGCUCUGUUGUAAGGGAAGAACGGUAGAUAGAGAAUAUCUAAAUGACGGUACCUUACCAGAAAGCCACGGCUAACUACGUG